AGGAGAUUGAUAGACAGUGUGAGAACUGGUACAUAAAAUAAUUUCUUCUGAAUCACAUAGUGGUUCCUAACAUUUAGCAUUUCUAAAAUUUGCCAUUUUUAGCUAGAUCCAAAAUGCAGAGAGGCAAGGUUUAUUUUCCUGGAGGUCCUAUAUUGCAGCUGGUGCUAUUUUGUUAUGUCAAAUUGUGUAUUUUUCCAGCUUCCCUUCCUCAUGUAUGAGCUUGUCUAUGGUGGGAUGGGGAUUCGGAGGAUAAAUGUUAUGGCAGUAAGGAGGUCAAGCGUGAGACGUCACAUGUCAAGGGGAUUUACUAUUUAGUCUCUUCUAAUCAGGUGAAGAGAUACUGCUGGUUUAAACGGAAUCCAUACUUUAACAUGAUUUCUCCCAAUUCAACAAAGUCAGGUACUACUCAUGUUCUUUCAUGCUAUGGAGCUACUCGAGGCAGCAGAACAUUAUCCCACACGGAGAUGGGGAUGGCCAUGCCCGUGCUGAUGCCGUCGGCCGUCGGUGAGAGCAUCACCGUCAACAACGGCUCCAGCGACCUCUCCAGGAGCUUCUCCAUGAGCUCCUCGGGUGACACCAACUCCAACAUCAUGUUCUUCACGCCCGGAAGCAAAAAAGCGAAGGUGCUCAUCGACAGCGACGAUGGCAUGGUCACCAGCCUCAGCAAAAUCGAAUCCCAAUUUGGCAUGUCAACCACGUCUUUAGACAUGUCCGGCAUGGACGACUAUCUGCAGCUGCAGCAAUACUUCAUCGCCUACACAGUCUGCACCAAGCGUGGCUGCGCCACUCACCCACGAAGCAUCGCUGAGAGGAUUAGAAAGAAGAGCAAGGAAUAGCAAGAGGCUAAGGAGGCUGCAAGACCUCGUGCCCAAUAUGGACAAGAGUAUCAAAGCUUCUUCUAGAUCAAAGAAAGCUAAUCCAGAAUCAACCAUAGUCAGUGCAAGAAGGUUAUACAGGGCAGAUGAUAUUUCAUCAGAGAGGUAUACUACAGUGAAAAUAUAAUAAGUGUGCCAGUUUGUGAUGGUUGAGGGGAAAUGUGAGGUUAUAGCAAAGAAUGACAUUCCAAAUUCAAAUCUUCCGGUAGUGGUUGAGCAUGCCUUUUACUGUGAACAUUUAUAUGAUCCUGAUGCUGGAGCUCUUAAGCAGCUACCGACAAAUGUUAAGCUCAUGACCUUGACAAGGAAGGCGCAUGCUGCAAAAAAGAAUGAAGGCAAGUAGAUUUGUGACGAUGAGCAAGCUGGUUCAGACAAACAGAACGCAACACCAGAGAACUGUCUUGCAACCCUUGAUAUUUUUGCUGGCUGUGGAGGUUUGUCUGAAGGGUAGUAGCUAUCUGUACUGGCGCACCAUGUACAAAUUGGGCAAUUGGAUAUGAAGAACCUGCCAGGCAAGCAUUUGGUGAAAAUCAUCCAGAGGCAGUGGCAUUAGUGGAGAACUGCAAUGUGAUUCUAAAGUUGUGGUCAGGGAGGCAAAGCGAAGGGCAACCUCCGGAAGAGUGGUGUGAGUAGAGGGUGUCGCGGAAGAGUGUCACGCAAAUAAGUGGGUGGGGGAAGGAAGCAGAGCAGGCAAUGCCCCUAUUUAUAUUUGGCGUUGGCAUGUCCAGAUCGAUGGGCCAAAGCUCAUUUAGGAAGUGAUGAAUCGAACAAGGAGGAAGGGUAACACGAUGACGUGUUUGGUCUUCAGCCAUUUCUUUACUAAGAAACCCAGGUUAGGAUUGUCUAAAUGUCCAGAAGCUCAAUCUUACUACUAAAUGUAGUUAUUCGCUUCAUUAGUGGAAUGGCUAUCUUCUAUCGUCAGAUCUAUGAUACAAGACUAAGUUUUUCUAUGAUUUGUAUUAGUGUGAUCCAUACAUUAAAUGGUGAAGGAUUACUACUACUAUAUCAGUUUAGGUCUAAUCUAGAGUUUAGACUUCCAUUUUUUGCGGGGAUCUAGAGUUUAGGCUUGACUAAUCUUUAUAGCAGUUUGUUCAUGUGAAAAUUAUGACUGAUACAAACUAGAUGUUAUUAUAUAAUAUCGGGACAAGAUACUAACCUACCAUUAUGCAAAAAAGAAAAACAUAAUACUGAUCUGCCGCUAACA